AGCUGACAAAAAACCGGUUGCAGAGGCCUUCUGGGGAAGACAGGUGGCAGGAAGAGGUGUGUUUUCUUUCCAACAGGACCAAGAUGUAAAACAUGAUGUCAUGUCCAACCAAUCUGUUCUGCAUCGAUGGGAGAAAAAACAGAAUCUUAGGCCCAUGCCCAAGAAGUAUCAUUCUGAGGUACAGAGGAAGUGAUGUCCUUGACAAGGGAGCUUCUUUAUGUGUAGCUACACUCCAUGAUUCCAAGAGCCCAGCAGCCGGGGCUGGCCUGUUUCUAGAGUCAUAAGAACGUGAAGUCUUUGAUGUGGGCUGAAGAUUUUGGACCUGAGUUUAUCACUUUAUGAACUCUUAUAUCAGUACAAAACUACCCCUUUUUUUGUCCCU
rnacentral:sRNA from 1 species